AGACCUAGCACCGCUGCCAAGACCAAGCGCCGCCGUCACGUCACCUCCGGCAGACCCACUCCCGCACAAUGCCGGCCGUCGGUUGCGUUCCUGCAAAACUACUCUGGACCUGCUACCCUUUCCCUGGAGCUUGUUCCCCGCUGUGCUGACACCCUGGGCGCCCGGAGCUCAGCCCCAUGCUGCUGAUUCACCACGGGCGACCUGCAAAACCUAACAUCUUCUCUCGCCUGCGCUCUGCCACCAUAUCAUCGUUCAGGAAAUCUAGAAUCAAUCAACCUUCUCUAUUCUUCUCUUGCUAUAUAUACUAAUGUAUAUGGUGAUGGAUAAGUCUAUGUACUAUGGUCUUUGUGGGGCUGCAGCACAUAGUCCUUUGUGGGGCUGCAGCACAUGGCCCUUGUGGCUGUUAGGAUAGAAUCCUUGACCAUCAAGGACUGGCAGUUAGGAUAGCAUCUUGGACUAGCAUCUUAGCAGCAUCUUAGACUAGCAUCUUAGCAUAUGCUUGGCUGGCUAGCAGCCUAUAAAUAUGUAUCCCCAACCCCUCAGGUUGGCAUGGCAUUGUGUGAGAAAUAAACCAACGAAAAUUGUCCCAACUCUCCUAGUGUCAUCCACAACUAUCAAUGCUCAGGCUGAAAGGUCUAACAAGUGGUAUCAGAGCCUCGUUAUCUUGUACCCUGAGCAUUUCCUGCUCACCUCUCUCACCGGGAGCUGAGCAGCCUAAGCCGGUAGCAGCAGCUGCUCCGACUGCCCCUAGUUACCGCCCUCCCUCCGGACUGUCGAGCAGCAGCUCGUCAGCAACAGCCUCCUCUUCACGCAACAGCCCCCCUGCAGCAAGCCAUGUCUGCAGGUCGCUCUCAGCACACGGCUACCUCGAGCAUACGGCGCCGGCAAGAGGCCGAGCGCGCCGUGGCAGAGGAGCGUGAGCAAGCAGCUGUAGCAGCAGCUGCUGCGGCAGCAAGGGUGUCAAGGCUGGCUGCAGCGGAGCUGGCAGCAGCCAGAGCAGAGGUAGAAGCAGCCAGGGCGGAGGUAGAAGCAGCAGCAGCAGCGGAGGCAGCACGUGAGGCUACAGCGGGUGCCAAGGCACUCCGCGUCGGCUCCGGCAGCUCCAACGGCUCCGCGCCUGCGGACGACGGUGCCGACGCAGACCGUGCCAAAGUGGCGCAAGAGCGGACAGCGCAGUGGGCAGCCGAGCGCGCCCGCGCUCCAGGUGGAGGUGCGCACGGCGACGACGGCUGCAACGACCAGGACCGCGGCCUCUACGAGGUCCGGACUGUGGUCAGGGAUGUUGGUCCCAGUGUUGGGUGGCCUACCCUCACUAAAACCAACUACGUCGAGUGGGCCGCGAUCAUGAAGAUCAGGCUCCAGGUGCGGCGGCUGUGGGAGGCAGUCCAGGACAGCAACGUCGACCACCAAGAAGAUCGACGGGCGCUGGACGCCCUCAUCGCCGCAGUCCCGCCCGCGAUGCAGUUCUCGCUUUCCAACAAGCGGACUGCCAAGGAGGCUUGGGACGCCAUCGCCGCGGCACGCAUCGGCAGCGACCGUGCUGGCGUGCUCGCAAGUCCACACUGCAGGCACUUCGUAAGGAGUGGGAGAGCCUGGCUUUCAAGCCAGGUGAGGACGUUGAUGACUUUGCUCUCCGUCUCAACACUCUACUGCAGAAGAUGGUGAAGUUCGGCGAUGACACCUACACCGAGGAGAGAGCUGUCUAGAAGCUUUUCCGAUGCAUUCCCGAGAAGUACAAGCAGAUGGCUCGCUCGAUCGAGUCUUUGCUGGACCUCUCCACGAUGACGAUCGAGGAGGCGAUAGGUCGCCUCAAGGUCGUCGACACCGACGAGCCACAGCCUCCCUCGGGGCCCAUCACCACCGGCGGGAAGCUGCUCCUAACUCGGGAGCAAUGGGAUGCCAGCCUUGGUGACAAGAAGGGGGAGCCUUCUUCCACGACGGGCGGCCGCAAGCGUGGCAAGCAGCGCAAGGCGCGAAGGGGCGACAAGGCACAAGGACGUGCUGAAGGUGACGCCCGCGGAGGCGCCAAGGACGGCGUCGCUGGCAAGCCCAAGCCGGCACAGGACAACAGCUGCCACAACUGUGGCCGGCUUGGCCAUUGGGCCAAUGAGUGUCGCCAACCACGACAAGGCCAGGCUCAUGUCGCACAGGCGGCGGAGGAGGAGACGGCUCUGUUCAUGGCGCAUGCAAGCAUCGAGCUACCUUCAGCGACACCAGUCGCAAAGGCUCCCCUCCACCUCGACGAGCCAAAAGCACACGCUCUUCUCGGCGAUGGCUCCGGGAAGGACAAGACUGCGGGGUGGUGCCUCGAUACCGGCGCCACCCACCACAUGACCGGUCGAAGGGAAUUCUUCGCCGAGCUCGACUCCGACGCGCGAGGCUCCGUCAAGUUUGGGGAUGCCUCAGCUGUGGAAAUUAAGGGCGUCGGCUCCGUCAUCUUCACCACCAAGACGGGAGAGCACCGGCUGCUCACCGGUGUCUACUACAUCCCCGCGCUAAGGAACUCCAUCAUCAGCUUGGGACAGCUGGAUGAGAACGGCUCACGCGUGCUGAUUGAGCAUGGGGUCCUACGCAUCUGGGAUCGCCAGCGUCGCCUUCUCGCCAAGGUACCCAGAGGCGAAAAUCGACUCUACGUCCUUGAUGUGCAGGUGGCACAACCGGUCUGUCUCGCUGUCCGUCGGGACGACGAGGCGUGGCAAUGGCAUGAGCGCUUUGGGCACCUUCAUUUUGAGGCCCUGAAGCGUCUAAGUGCCAAGGAGAUGGUGUUGAGGCCUGCCAUGCCUCGACCAUGUGGAGCAAUUCUGCGACAUCUGUGUGCUGACGAAGCAGAGAGGACUCCCCUUUCCCCAGCAGGCAAGUUUUCGGGCCAAGGAGAGGCUGGAGCUCGUGCACGAAGAUCUGUGCGGCCCGGUGACGCCAGCCACACCAGGAGGUCGACGCUACUUCCUGCUGCUCGUCGACGACCUCUCUCGCUACAUGUGGGUGAUGGUCCUCGGCAGUAAGGGAGAGGCGCCGGACGCCAUCAGGCGUGCGCAGGUUGCUGUGGAGGCGGAGAGCGGCCGCAAACUGCGCGUGUUGCGCACUGACAACGGUGGCGAAUUCACGGCGGCUGAAUUCGCGUCGUACUGCGCUGAUGAGGGCAUCCAGCGCCACUACUCCGCGCCGUACAGCCCGCAGCAAAACGGCGUCGUCGAGCGGCGCAACCAGACGGUUGUGGGGAUGGCUCGGGCUCUCCUCAAGCAGAGAGGGAUGCCGGCUGUUUUCUGGGGAGAGGCGGUGCUAACGGCCGUCUACAUCCUCAACCGCUCGCCUACUAAGGCACUCGACGGCAGGACGCCGUACAAGGCCUGGCAUGGGCGGAAGCCGGCGGUCUCUCACUUGCGGGUCUUUGGCUGCCUUGCGUUCGCCAAAGAGCUCGGCCACAUCGGCAAGCUCGACGACAGCAGUACUCCGGGAGUCUUCAUCGGCUAUGCGGAGGGCUCAAAGGCCUACCGCAUCCUCGACCCAGAGACACAGCGUGUGCGCACGGCGCGAGACGUCGUGUUCAACGAAGGGCGAGGGUGGAAAUGGGACAAGGCGGUGGACGACGGCUCAAUGCCGACGUAUGACGACUUCAUUGUCGAGUACGUCCACUUCAAGGAAGCCGGGGGAGCAAGCAGCUCCUCUUCGCCGAGCACGUCUACCCCAGCCCCCAAAACUACAUCGACUCCGGUGCCUGCUACGCCGACGGCACCACAACCGGCGACGCCGCAUACUCCAGCCCCGACAGUCACCACUCCGGGCUCGUCUUCAUCAGCACCAGCUCACGCAGAGCACAACCCGAUGAAGUUCGCUUCCCCGCUCACUCACAACGAGGAGCGCAUCGACGCGUAUCAUAGCGGUGAACCGCUACGGUAUCGUACGAUGGAUAAUCUACUCGGCGACCAGCCGGUGCCGGGACUGGUGCCACGCGACCUGGAGGCGCAGCUACAACUCGCGUGUGAGGACGGCAAACCUCGGUCUUUUGCAGAGGCCGAGAAAGACGCGGCAUGGCGCGCCGCGAUGCAGUUGGAGAUGGAUGCGGUCGAGCAGAACCGCACCUGGGAGCUCGCUGACCUCCCUCGUGGUCACCGCGCAAUCACCCUUAAGUGGGUGUUCAAGCUGAAGAGGGAUGGAGCCGGCGCCAUCAUCAAGCACAAGGCUCGCUUGGUGGCCCGAGGCUUCUUGCAGCAGGAAGGAGUCGACUUCAACGACGCUUUCGCUCCCGUGGCACGGAUGGAGUCCGUGCGACUUCUCCUUGCGCUAGCUGCCCAGGAGGGCUGGCGUGUCCAUCACAUGGAUGUCAAGUCGGCAUUNNNNNNNNNNNNNNNNNNNNNNNNNNNNNNNNNNNNNNNNNNNNNNNNNNNNNNNNNNNNNNNNNNNNNNNNNNNNNNNNNNNNNNNNNNNNNNNNNNNNNNNNNNNNNNNNNNNNNNNNNNNNNNNNNNNNNNNNNGCAUUCCUCAACGGCGACUUGAAGGAGGAAGUCUAUGUGCAUCAACCACCGGGAUUUGCGAUCCCUGGCCAGGAGGGCAAGGUACUCCGCCUGCGUAAGGCUCUCUACGGCCUACGACAGGCACCUAGGGCGUGGAACGCCAAGCUGGACUCCACGCUGAAGAAGAUGGGCUUCGAGCAAAGCCCGCAUGAGGCGGCCGUCUACCGACGGGGCAGUGGAGGAAAUGCCCUGCUGGUGGGCGUCUAUGUUGACGACUUGGUGAUCACCGGCAUCAAAGAUGCAGAGGUGGCGGCGUUCAAGGAAGACAUGAAGGCCACCUUCCAGAUGAGUGAUCUGGGGCUCCUCUCCUUCUAUCUAGGGAUCGAGGUGCACCAGGAUCACUCCGGGAUCGCGCUUCGACGGUCCGCCUACGCCAAGCGCAUCGUUGAGCUAGCUGGGCUCACCGACUGCCACCCAGCUCACUCCGAUGGAGGAGAGGCUGAAACUGAGCGCGACAGCACGACAGAGGAAGUAGACGCUACGCAGUACCGACGCCUUGUGGGGAGCCUUCGCUACCUCGCCCACACACGGCCGGACUUGGCAUUCUCCGUCGGCUAUGUCAGUCAGUUCAUGGAGCGACCGACGUCGGAGCACCAGCAGGCAGUGAAGAGGAUCGUCCGCUACGUGGCAGGGACCCUCGACCACGGCCUCCACUACCCUAGGUGUCCGGGGGCGGCACACUUCGUCGGGUACAGCGACAGCGACCACGCCGGCGACAUCGACACCAGCAAGAGCACGAGCGGGAUCCUCUUCUUCCUCGGCAAGUGUCUCGUGAGCUGGCAAUCGGUCAAGCAGCAGGUGGUGGCCCUGUCCAGCUGUGAGGCCGAGUACAUAGCGGCCUCCACCGCCUGCACUCAGGCGCUCUGGCUCGCUCGACUGCUUGGUGAUCUCCUCGUCCGAGACACCAGACGGUGCAGCUCCUGGUGGACAGCAAGUCCGCCCUGGCUCUGGCAAAGAACCCCGUUUUUCACGAACGGAGCAAGCACAUCCGACUGAGGUAUCACUUCAUCCGCAGCUGCUUGGAAGAAGGGAGCAUCGAGGCGAGCUACAUCAACACCACGGACCAGCUCGCAGACCUGCUCACCAAGCCUCUUGGGAGGAUCAAGUUCCUCGAACUCUGCUCCAGGAUUGGGAUGAUUCGACUCUCCCACAAGACGACGUACAAGACUUAGGGGGAGAAUGAUGGAUAAGUCUAUGUACUAUGGUCUUUGUGGGGCUGCAGCACAUAGUCCUUUGUGGGGCUGCAGCACAUGGCCCUUGUGGCUGUUAGGAUAGAAUCCUUGACCAUCAAGGACUGGCAGUUAGGAUAGCAUCUUGGACUAGCAUCUUAGCAGCAUCUUAGACUAGCAUCUUAGCAUAUGCUUGGCUGGCUAGCAGCCUAUAAAUAUGUAUCCCCAACCCCUCAGGUUGGCAUGGCAUUGUGUGAGAAAUAAACCAACGAAAAUUGUCCCAACUCUCCUAGUGUCAUCCACAACUAUCAA
rnacentral:lncRNA from 1 species